AAAAUACUCCCUCCAUCCCAAAAUUCUUGUAUUAAGUUUGACUAGAAAUGGAUAUAUCUAAAUACUAAAAUGUGAUUAGAUAUAUUCAUACUUAGCCAAAUGUAAGACAAGAAUUUUGGAACGAAGAGAGUAGUAA
rfam:Hordeum vulgare subsp. vulgare, WGS project CAJW01000000 data, contig: morex_contig_41732